UAGGGAAUCUUCGGCAAUGGGGGGAACCCUGACCGAGCAACGCCGCGUGAGUGAAGAAGGUUUUCGGAUCGUAAAGCUCUGUUGUUAAGGAAGAACGAGCGUGAGAAUGGAAAGUUCAUGCUGUGACGGUACUUAACCAGAAAGGGACGGCUAACUACGUGCCAGCAGCCGCGGUAAUACGUAGGUCCCGAGCGUUGUCCGGAUUUAUUGGGCGUAAAGCGAGCGCAGGCGGUUAGAAAAGUCUGAAGUGAAAGGCAGUGGCUCAACCAUUGUAGGCUUUGGAAACUGUUUAACUUGAGUGCAGAAGGGGAGAGUGGAAUUCCAUGUGUAGCGGUGAAAUGCGUAGAUAUAUGGAGGAACACCGGUGGCGAAAGCGGCUCUCUGGUCUGUAACUGACGCUGAGGCUCGAAAGCGUGGGGAGCGAACAGG
rnacentral:rRNA from 1 species